rnacentral:lncRNA from 1 species
CCAUCUAGACUAAACUAAAUCAUAUUAUGCCUAUAUAUACACGUCUAUUAUAUGCACGCGCACAUACAAUGAUGUCGGUAAUUCAAUUUUUAUACUUCUCUGUUCCCCGAUGAAUAUUCAUAUUUACUUUUUGAUUUGUUUCUCGAAUAAAUGCCUAUUAUUUCUUUUUUUUGAUAAGUGUACCUCACACAACUCAUUUACAACAAAAAUGAGAUAUUUAUUUCAUUCACACAAAGUCAAUCAAUUUUUUAAAACUCAUUUUAUUUUUAAAUGGGUAUUCAUUUGAAGGACGAAGAAAGUAAUACAUAG